GCGUAUGCAUCCUGAGUCAGCUACUUCCUAGCUGAGACUGGGCAGUUAUUUAACCUCUGUAAGCCUCAGUUUCCUCACAGUCAAGUGGGGAUAAUAAAAGUACUUAUCUUGUAGGAUUGUAAUAAUGAUGAAAUGGCAUAAUUCAUGUUAUGAGCUAGACACAAUGUUCACAGUCAGCAAAGAUUAGGUGUUGUUAUUAUUAUUAAAUAUUGCUGCUGUCCCAUGGAUUGGGGAAUAUGAAAAUUAUAUUUUAUACCACACACCAAAUUUAAUUCACAAUUACCCGUGGGAUCUUUCAGUUUUCUUCCUGAAGUUUCUACGUGGCAUUCCCGUGCCUCAGUUCACUUUUUAGCUCUCUUGCCUCACACAGGCUCUUAAAUCUUCCCUGUUGCCUGAGUAAUUCAGUUCUUUCCAAAAGUGCUUUUCCAGUUAACAAAAUAAAGACAGGAGAAUCACCUAACCUGCCUUUCAUAGAAACCAGUUUGGCGCAUGUUCAGUAAUACUUCAAGCAUGUGCCUUGUGGGGACUUGCCCUUUUACCUUGUGUUGCUUAAAUGACCCUUUCAUCCCCACCCCCACCUACUGUCCUUCCCUCACCACUCUUCUCCUUUCUAAAGAAGGAAUUCUACUACUGUGAGCAAUAUGAUUUCUCCAGUGGUAGAAAUAUUAUUCUCCUCAACAGGCAGAAGAUUUAGCUUUGGCAUAUAUAUUCUAUGUAAUUGCAUUGUUUGGUUGUACCUUUAAGGUCUCAGAUCACACACCGGAAGAAGGCCUGUUACUUUUGGAGGAACUUACUGACCAAAGGUAGUUCAUGGCCAUAGAAGAUGUAUCUACCCAUGGAAAUGAAGAAAUGUAUUAGAGCUUCCAGUGCUUUUUCUGGAAUAUCUACUCUGUAGUCUCUGCAGUGGCACUCCCAUUGGCUCUAACAAAUUGUUCUCAAGGUCAAGAAUGGCCUCAUGCAAUUUGUUAAAUCCCGAGCACUUCCGAGAAUCAAAAUCAAAUCAAAGUGCAGAUAUGGAAGGUCCUGGAGGGAAAAGACAUAAUGAAUGUGAAACGAGAUUCCACAGUGAGGAGAACCAAGGCCUGGGCACUGCAUUGCAGUAGAAGAACUACCCAGUCAACCCACAGAAUUAUUUUCUUGGUGUCCUCAGUAGAUGGAUUGUUCUGAAAGUCAGUAGGCUGCCAAUGUUAGAAACAUAAGUCUACGAAGACUAAUGAAGUAAAGCUGGAGAGAGCCUGCAGAACUACCAACAAAUCUGGACUUGAAGAAAACUUCAAGGUACCUGAGGUCAACUACGGUCUGGAAGCAGAUGAUCCUUUUCCUGACAUAUCAUCAUCAUAAAGUCAGCCUAACUUUAUGUCACAAGCCUGUCAUUCACCUCACUUCGCUUCAUCAGUUACCGGCUGUCAACCACAGUCUGGAAGCAGAUGAUCCUCCUACUGACAUAUGGUCGGAAAGUCGAUAGUACCCGAAAACUACAUCAUCCUGCUUACAUCAUUCACCUCACUUCACCUCAUCAGGUAGGCAUUUUAUUAUUUCACAUCAUCCCAAGAAGAAAGGUGAGUGCAGUACAAUAAGAUUUUGAGAGAAAGAGACCACAUUCACAUAACUUUUAUUACAGUAUAUUGUUAUAAUUAUUCUAUCCAUUACUAGUUAUUGUUCUUAAUCUUUUACUGUGCCUAAUUUAUAAA